UCCCACUCCCGGGCUCUGUGGAGUGUUUGUUCAUCAUCCUCUUCCUCCUUUUCUUCUUGUUCUUCCUGUUGCUGAGCUGCUUUUCUGAAUUCCUCUAAAGUGGAAAAAUUAGAAAGGGAGGUGAGAAAUUGAGGGAAUGUUAAUAAGUAACGUCAGGGGCCUCAGUUCCACUCUGAGCACAACCACAUGCAAUGAGAACAGGAAUACAGCCAGCUGCCUACCCUGAGCCCGGCGGAAGCGGGGAGAGAACUUGCAUUACCUAAUAUAUCGCAUGUUAAAAAAUAGUACGAAAGGAUGCUCUAAGUGGUUUCCACAAGAAGGCAAAAAUCAUAAAAGGUGCCCCUCAGAAUGAAUUCUAUUUUGGAAGAGAAUUCUUGCAAAAAUGGCCAACACCCACCCCCCCCAAGCCCCUAAACAAAAACAUUACCACCACCAUCAAACAACCCCUGCAAUCCAAAAACAGGAAAGAAAAAAUAUUUAUGAAUUUGUGAUUUGUGAGUUGCCAGGGGGGUGGGAUUGCAGUUGACGUUUCCUCCUCCAUCCAUUUCCUUUACUAUAGUCAUACAUAAGUUUUUGUGCAUAAAAUUGAAAAUCACAGGGCAGUUGGACCUACCAGAAAAGAAUGCCUACGUAUUAUUUUGCAGUGCUUGAAAUAGGCUCUGAGGUCCAAAUGGCAUUUAUCAUGCAGUGUACACCCAAAAGAAAUUAAACCAACUGCUGCAUCUCUUUUGCAUUUUUUUUCCUUUGUGAGGUAAAGCAGCAUUUUCCUGGCUACUCUGACUUUGCUCAUGAGAAAUAGUCUCAUUACUAUGAAUGAAAUGUGUGGGGAUCUGAUCUCUUCUAACAGCUCAGGAGUCUUUUUUUCUGAGAUAGGGUUUCUCUCUGUUGCCUAGGCUGGAGUACAGUGGUGUGAUCAUGGCUAACUGUAGCCUCGAACUCCUGGGCUCAAGUCAUCCUCCUGCCUCAGCCUCCCGAGUAGCUGGAACCACAGGCAUGAACCACCACACUUGGCUAAUUUUUACAUUUUUUGUGGAGACAAGGUCUUCCCCUAUGUUGCCCAGGCUGGUCUCGGCCCUCCCAAAGUGCUGGGGUUACAGGCGUGAGCCACCUUGCCUCGUUCUUUUCUUUUAAACCCUUUACUAUAAAAUAAAACAUGGUGGAAACCACACAAGUACAUAUAAAACAAAUUUUUGUAAGGAGGCCUUAUAGCCUCCACUCAGGUCAAGAAACAGAUCUCCUGUAUCCACCCUAAAAGCCUCUCUGUGUACAUUAUACAAAUCAACUCUCCUCCCCUGCAAAAGUAACCUCUAUACUGCUUUUUAUAGUAAUAACUUCCUAGAGUUCAUCACAGCUUUAUCACCCAAGUGCAUACCACUAGACACUGUAAUUGUCCAUUUGUACAUUCAUUUUUUUACUCAAUGUAUUUUUUAGUACAGAGUUGUGCAACUAUCACCACAAUCCAAUUUAAAAAAUUCUAUAACCCCAAAAGAUCCCUUGUGCCCAUUUACAGUUAAUUCCCAUUCCUUCCCUCCCUGCCCCCAGCUCCUAGAACCAUGAAUCAACUUUCUGUCUCCAUAGAUGUGCCUAUUCUGGACAUUUCAUACACAUGAAAUCAAAAUCAUGUAAUCUGUGAUCUUUUGCGGCUGACUUCUUUCACUUAGCAUCAUCACCUUUUUUUGUUGUUGUUGUUGAGACAGUCUUGCUCUGUCUCCCAGGCUGGAGAGCAGUGGUGCGAUCUUGGCUCACUGCAACCUCCACCUCCCGGGUUCAAGUAAUUCUCCUGCCUCAGUCUCCCGAGUAGCUGGGAUUAAAGGUGCCUGCCACCACACUCAGCUAAUUUUUGUAUUUUUAGUAGACAUGGGGUUUCACCACAUUGGCCACGCUGGUCUCGAACUCCUGACCUCAAGUGAUCUGCCUGCCUCGGCCUCCCAAAGUGCUGGGAUUACAGGUGUGAGCCACUGCGCCUGGCCUAGCAUCGUAUUUUUGAGGUUAGCCUUGCCUAUUUAAAAAUGUUUUGAUAUCUUUUUAAAUCUAUGGGUUCCCCCUCCACCCCUUUCUUUCAAGUUAUCUGUUGAAGAAGUUGGGGCAUAUGACCUGUAGAGUUUGUUUCCCAAAGACUGGAUUUUGCUGAUUGCAUACUCAUGAUGCAGUCUAACAUGUCCUCCUUUAUUUUCUGCAGAUUGGCAGCUGAAUACAGAGGCUUGAUUUGACUCAAGUUUGAUCCCUUCAGCAUGAAUUAUAAUUAUAGGUGGUGCUGCAUUCCUUCAUCAGGAGGCAUGUAAAUAUCUCUGUCUCGUUGUAAUGUUAGGAGCUGUUGAUGCUCAAUGCCGAGACCCAUUCAUUUAUUGGGGGGUUUCAAAAAGGUGAUACCCUUAAUUUUAACUUUUUAAAAUUAACUGGAAUACUUUUACAAAGAGAGCCUUCCCCUCAUCAACUACUAUUUGGUUACCUAGUAGAAAAGAUAAAAUACUUGACUCUUUCCCUUUAUUUACCAUUUCUCAAGAUAUUGGGUUCCCUUAUUAGCCUCUGAGGUUGAAUAAUUUGGUCUUGUUUUAUAAUAUAAUUAUGGGCUGGGCACGAUGGCUCACACCUGUAAUCACAGCACUUUGAGAGGCUGAGGUGGGAGGACUGCUUGAACCCAGGAGUUCGAGAUCAUCCUGGGCAAGAUGGCGAGACCCUGUGUCUACAAAAAAAAUAUUUAUGACACUUAUAUUGGCUCAAAAAAUUAUAAAAAAGAAAAAAACUUUUAAAAUCUGCCAGGCAUGGUAGUGCAUGGCUGUAGUCCUACUCACUCGAGAGGCUGAGGCAGGAGGAUUGCUUGAGCCUGGCCUGGGCUCAGAGUGUGAGACCCACCUCUAAAAAAAUAAAAAUAUAUAUAUAUAAUUAUGAACUUAGAGAUUUAAACAUAUCUGGUGAGUUUCAGCCAGUUGCAACUAUUAUUAUUAUUUUUGAGACAAAGGAGUCUUGCUCUGUCACCCAGGCUGGAGUGCAGUGGUGUGAUCUUGGCUCACUGCAACCUCCGCCUCCUGGGCUCAAGCGAUUCUCCUGUCUCAUCCUCCCGAGUGGCUGGCAUUACAGGCAUGUGCCACCACGCCUGGCUACUUUUUGCAUUUUUAGUAGAGAUGGGGUUUUAUCACAUUGGCCAGGCUGGUCUUGAACUUCUGACCUCAAGUGAUCCACCCACCUAAGCCUCCCAAAGUGCUGGAAUUACAGGCGUGAGCCACCGCGCCCGGCCCACAAUUAUUGUUUUAAAAAACUAUUUAAAUCAACUUCUUAAUUUUAGAAGUUUUCAAUUUACAGAAAAAUUGAGAAAAUAGUACUGAGUUCCUACAUAACCACACCCAGUUUCUUAUCAUCAACCUCUUACAUUAAUACAGUUUCUGUGAUACAACUAAUGAACCAAUACUAAUAUAUUAUUAACAACUAAAGUGCAUACAUUACUCAAAUGUCCUUAGGUUUUACCUAAUGUCCCUUUUCCGUUCCAGGAUCCUAUCCAGGUCACCACAGUACAUUUUGUUGUCUGUUUCUUUAGUCUCCUCUAGGAUGUAACUCUUUCUCAGACUUUCCUUCAUUCUGAUGACCUGGACAGUUUUGAAGAGUACUUGUCAGGUAUUUUGUAGAAUGUCCCUCAGUUUGGGUUGCCUAUUUUUUACAGAAUUAGACUAGGGUUAUGGGUUUUGGAGGACAAUACUAUAUAUGCUAUCAACCUGACUUCACACUGAUAAUAACCUCGAUGACCUGACCAAAGUGGUAUUUGUAGGUUUCCAACUAAAGUUACUUCUCCUGUCUCCUUCCACAUUGCAGUCUCUGGAAGCAAGUCACUAAGCACAGCCCACACUUUCGGGGUACACAGUCAUGCUACACCUCCUUGAAGCAGGAGUAUCUACAUAAAAUUAAUUGAAAUUUUUCUGUAGGGGAGAUUUAUCUCUUCUCCCUCAUUUAUUUACUUAUUCAACCACUUAUUUCUAUCACAAUGGACUUGUGUGUAUUCAUUUUAUUCCUAGUGUGAUAAUCCAAUACUGUUAAAUUUACUUUCCUGCCCAAGUUCUCCCAGUUUUGGGCUGUGAGGGUGCAGCUGGCUCUUGUGUUCCUUUAACACCCCAACAGUUUUUUGAGCUCUUGUUUUCUAGUACAGAGAGCCCUGAGUUAAGAUUUUUCAAGUUUAUGAUGGUGUGAAAGUGACAUGCAUACAGUAAAAGCCAUACCUCAUAUUUUGAGAUAUUCAAUAUUUUAGUAUAAAAUAGGCUUUGUGUUAGAUGAUUUUGCCCAACUGUGGACUAACGUAAGUGUUCUGAGCAGGUCGAAGGUAGGUUAGGCUAAGCUGUGAUGUUGGGUAGGUUGGGUAUAGCAAAUGCAUUAUCAACUUAACAAUAUUUUCAACUUAGAAUGGCUUUACCAGGAUAUAACCCCAUCAUACGUUGACUAUCAUCUGACUACGAGAUGCUCCAGGUUCAUCUUGUAUAUUCCCUGCCUCAGCCCUAGAAUCAGCUAUUUCUCCAAGGAGCCCUGGUUCAUUUAUUAGAGGAUGGUAUUAGAAACCAAGAUUUGGGUGUUGGAUGGACUUGUUGCUACUGUCAAUUAUCCUCUGUGAAACCGAAUUGGCCAGUGGAAACAUCUUUAAAUUGGCUCGAUAUGACCCCAGUAGUCUUUGAAAGCUCCUUCCCUAUCUUUUAUGACAAGAUGUUCCAAGCUUAUUUGUAUAUUUCCUGCCCCAGAAUUGUAGUCAGUUAUUUCUCUAAGACACCCUGAUUUCUUAAAAGAAAGAAUAUUGGGAAGAAUAUUUCUGUAUCACAAUUGGAGUUACUAGGUAUACUCAUUGCUACUGGGCUGGUCCUUGUUUCUAAGCCUUUUCAGUGAAUAGAGCAAAAGCAGGGGUGGGUGUGUGUGUGUGUUUAGUUUUAAAUAAAAUUUCUCAUGAGUUCAUAUGGAGUACUACAGGGUUUAAAAAAAAUCUAAAUUCUUUGGAAUUACAUCUGUAUUCUUUCACAUUAAAAGUCCUAGUUCUCAAAGACAGAGGAUGAUAGAAUUAGAUUAUCUAAUAACUGCUCAUUUAUAUUAUCUCACAUUAUACAUAGUCUUGGAAUAAUAACACUAACUUUGACACUCCACCAAUAUAAUUACUGAGAACUGUUAAAAUUUUGCAUGAUUUCCCCAUUUCUCCAUUUUUAAAAAGUUAUCUACAUUAUCUGGGCACAUAGGCAUUACAUACUCUAUCUCCCUUUUAAUCCUCAUUUCAUCUUAAUUCUACAAGUAACUGUACAUUUAACGCUUGCUACCUGUCCUUAUUUCAAUGUCUCUCAACACUUUGGCUGUCUGAAGCUCAUUCUCUAGCAAAUUCAUGGGAUGGUGGAACAAUAUUUCUUGAAUUCCUGCAUGUUGAUAAAUAUCUGUACUCUUUAUACUUGAAAGUCAGUUUUACCAGGUAUAAUGUUCCUUGGCUCACAUUUUUUUCCCUCUGAGUUUCUUAAAUACCUGCUAUUCCAUUUUCUUCUUUCUUCUGGCAUAAAGUAUAGAUCUCAAAAAAUCUGAGGGUAACCUAAGUUGCUUUCCUUUAUAAAUCACUUACUAUUUUUACUGAGAUGUCUGUGGCUUUUUUUUCUUUAAAGUUCGGAAAUUUUAUUAGACUAUGUCUUGUUGGUCAUUCUGGGUCCUUUCCCAGGAACAUGGUGUGAUUUUUCCUAUCAAGUGACCGUGGCGCUCGAGCCCUCCAGGACCAGGAGCUUAGGCCCCAUGGAGAAGCUGGGCCUGGUGCCGGGCAGCAGUUGUGCCUCUUUGGUGCAGUGUCUCAGCCCCAGGGAACUGGAGCUUUGGCCCAGGGGGGCAGCUGGGACCCUGGUGCCUUAGCCUGCAUGGCACCAGGUCCCUGGACCCCCCAGGGAAACACAGCCUUGGCUAAUCUGUACACACUGCUCUCUGGGCCAAACGGCAAUAGCACCCCCACCUCCCUGGAUCUGGACCAGCCCUCCGGGGUCUGAGCCACUGAGGUGUCCCACCUUCCUGGGGAGCAAAGCCAACAUUGCACUGCAUCCCACCCCCUGGAGCCCAAGCCACAGCUAUGCCCUACCAUUCCUGGGGCUGUGUUGCCACUGCACCCGGCCUCAUAGAGCUUCCAGGGUCCAGAGUCACCACUAUACAGCAUCUUCUUUCCUGGUGCCUGAAUUGCCACUGUGCCCUGCUCCCUGGGGUCUGAGCGUCUGGAACACCCCUCCCUCCCCAGAGCCAUGCCAGUACUAUGCCCUGACCCCCAGGUUAGGAAUCACAGCUACGUCCCUGCCCCUGGGCCCGAGCUACUGAGAAGUGCCUCAGAGUCAUAGUCCUUGCCUUGGUGGGAGAGCAGCAUCCACCUGUGCCUGAGACUGAACCUGCACCCAUGUCACAGGUCCCGCAGCAGUUCAAGAAGACACUGGACCCAGGACCAAGCUCCACAGCCACCCUGAGCACCCGUGCCUUGGAACACAGCACUGCUGUGGCUGCCUGUGGGUCGCGUCACACCCAACACCAAGAGAUUCCCCCCGCGCAACUUUUUUAAUCCCAAGAAACUUUCCUUAAUAUUAACUUUUAGCAUUUAUUCUUUUUCCUUGCUUUGGCUUUCUUCUUCAGAUAAUCCUAUUAUCUAUAUGCCAGGUCUUCUUUACUAUCUUUAGUAUAUGUCACUUUUCCUCAAACCCUGUUUAUCUUUUUUCGUUUUAAAAUUUUCCUUCCUUUUACCAUAGUAAGGCAUUUUCUGUUGUGUUCACUCAUUCUUGUUUCCUUCUACUUUAGCCUAUAUUUCUGAAAUGAUUCAUGUUCCCCAAGCUGUCAUAUUUCUGAGUUUUUCUAAUCCUGCUUUAUAUUGUCCUUCCAUGUCCUAUGUUAUUUUCUGAAUAUCUUCCAACUCUUUUUUGGAUACCAUGUUUCAGAUUUGUUCUGUUUUUUUGAGCGUGUCUUUCUGUAGUGUUUUUCUCUUCUAAUAACUUUGUGUAGGGUUUGACUUUGAUAAUUUUCUGUUCCCUUUUUCUCAGCUUUGUGCUGUAUUUCACAAUCCAUAAAAUCUACCCACUUAAAAGUAUACAUUUCAGUGUUUCUUUUUGUUUUUUUAUUUUUUGAGACAAAGUCUCACUCUGUUGCCAGGCUGGAGUGCAGUGGCACGAUCUCGACUCACUGCAACCUCUGCCUCCCAGGUUCAAGCCAAUUCUCCUGCCUCAGCCUCCCAAGUAGCUGGGACUACAGGCACGUACCACCAUGCCCGGCUAAUUUUUCUUUUUUUUUUGUAUUUUUAGUAGAGACGGGGUUUCACCAUCUUGGCCAGGCUGGUCUCAAACUCCUGACCUUGUGAUCCGCCUCCCAAAGUGCUGGGAUUACAGGUGUGAGCCAACAGUUCAGUGUUUUAUAUUCAGAGUUGUGCAACCAUCACCACAAUCUGUUGUUCAUUUUUACGUGAAAUGUUUUCCUAAACUUGUAGAAAGAAGCAUGGUUCAGAGUAGCUUUUCUAACUUCAUAAGGGCUCCCUUUCUGCUGUUUUCAUGUGAAUUAAAGAAAUAUGAUUACUUGCUUGAUUGGAGUUCCUGGUUCUGGUCCUCUCUCCUAAUUUCAUCUGGACCUUUUCUUUCUUUUUCUAUUCCUGUCCUGCUUAAUUUCAAUUCUACUCUCAGCAAUUUCUCCUCAGUGUGAGUCCCUGUCCUGGAAGGGAGACCGGUGGAUCAACUUCAAGAGUUCACUAAGGACUAGACUACUCUAUCGCUUUCAGACCUUCUGACUAUUGGACCCUCAUACUCAUCCCUCCCAGUUUCAACUGCAGUUCUUAAAUUGGACUGCCAUUCUUUCUAGGGAAUACACUGUUUUGGAAUUCUGUUUGUCAAGUUUUUCAGAUGGCCUGUCAACUCUGGUUUUCUCCUGCACAGAUGCCAAUAACUGCUGGAUCUUGUGGCUAUGGGUAAUUUGCCCUUACCUGUUUUUAUUGUGAGGUUCAUGGGGAUACACUGCCACCUAUUUUCAUUAUAAAUAUUGUCCAUGGGUUUUUUCACAUUCACUGAAGUGCAACAUACGUGUAGAAAAGUAUACUAACAUUUGUAUAGCUCAGUGACCUCUCACAUAUUGAACACAUCCAUGUAAUCAGUACCCAGAUGAAGAUACAAAAUAUUUCUAACUCCUCAGAAGACCCUGUAGGUCCAGUUCCAUUCAUGAUCCCCAACUAAGGGUGAACACUUACUAGCUUUCAACCAGCACACACAAGUAUCACCUGUUUGUUGAAGUUUGUAUGAAUGGAAUCAUACAGUAUAUACUCUUUUGCGUCUGGCUUUUUUCACACGAUUCAGCUAUAUUUGUCACUUAUAGCAAACAAACUAUAGUUUAACCUUAUUGCUACAUAGUUUUCCAUUGUGUGAAUAUACCAAAAUUUAUUCUUCAUUCUAUUAUUUAUGGGCAUUUGAGUGGUGUGUAUUCAGUGUGGACUAUUACAAAUAAUGCUGCUAUGUUCAAUCUUGUACAGGUCUUUUGUGGACAUAUGGUCUCACUCCUCUUAGGUAUAUACCGAGUAGUGAAACUGCCAGGUCAUGGGAGUAUACACGUGUCCAAUUUUUGUGCAUUACUACCAGAACCAUGACCACCCCUAGUUUCCCUGCCUUUAUUUCCUUUCAUCUAUUUACUUUGGGCUUUCUUUGUUCCCUAUGCCCCCACCCCCACCCUUGUUAAGGUAAAACCUUAGGUAAUUGAUUUUAUCUUCCUUUUUUCUAACAUAAGUGUUGAAAGUUACACACAUUUCCAUCUCAGCAUUGCUCGAGUUGUAUCCCAUAAAUUCUGAUGCUGUACUUUCACUGUAAUUCUGUUCAAAGUAUUCUCUUUUAUUUAUUUUUAAAUGGGCAAACAUAUUUAUUGUGUACAGUAUGUUUUGAAGUAUAUAUUAUGGGAUAGCUAAAUCUAGCUAAUUAAAAGAUGCAGUACCUUACACAUUGUUAUUUUUGCAGUAAGAACACUUAACAUCUACUCUGUAUUUUAUUUUCAUUUUUUUUGAGAUGGAGUUUUGCUCUGUUGCCCAGGCUGGAGUGCAAUGGUGUGAUCUUGACUCACUGCAACCUCUGCCUCCCAGACUCAACCGAUUCUCCUGCCUCGGCCUCCCGAAUAGCUGGGAUUACAGGCGCCCGCCACCACGCCCGGCUAAUUUUUCUAUUUUUAUUAGAGACGAGGUUUCACCAUGUUGGCCAGGUUAGUCUUGAACUCCCAACCUCAGGUGAUCCACCCGCCUCGGCCUCCCAAAGUGCUAGGAUUACAGGCGUGAGCCACCGCACCCAGCCAUUAACGAUAGUCACCAUGCUGUAUAACAGAUCUCUUGAACUUAUUCCCAGUUAGAAGUAUUUUCUAAUUUUCUUUCUAAUUUCUUCUUAGACCUAUAGGUUAUUUAGAAGUGUACUGUUUAAUUUUCAAAUAUUUGAGAAUUUUCUAGGUACAUUAUUGAUUUCUAAUUUAAUUCCAUUGUGGUCUGAGGACAUAUUCAGUGUGAUUUCAAUUUUUGAAAAUUUAUUGAGACUUAUUUCAUGGACCAGUAUAUGAUCUACCUUGGUGAAUGUUCCAUGGGUAUCUGAAAAGAAGGUGAAGGCAUACCUCGUUUUAUUGUGCUUCACUCUAUUGUGCUUUGCAGAGACUUUUUUUUUUUUUUUUUUUUUUAACAAAUUGAAGGUUUGUGGCAACCCUGCAGCGAGCAAGUCUAUUGGUGCCCUUUUUCUAAGAGCAUUUGCUCACUUUGUGUCACUGUGCCACAUUUUGGUAAUUCUCAGUUUCUCAAACUUUUUCAUUAUUUCAUUUGUUAUGGUGAUCUGUGGUCUUUGGUAUUACCAGUGUAAUUGUUCUGGGGCACCACAAACCAUGCCCACAGAAGACAGAGAACUUAAUGGGUAAAUGUGUUAUGUUCUGACUGCUCCACUGACUGGCUGUCCCAACCCUGCUCCAGGCCUCUCUGUUCCUUGAGACACAACAAUAUUGAAAUUGGGCCAAUGAAUAACCCUACAGUAGCCUAUCAUUCACUUUGGGGAGCGGAAGCUGUUGUGAGCAACCCUAUGUGAGCCUCCUGUCCUCAGCUACAUCGAUGAGCUUGGCAGUGAAUUAUCUAGUCCCAUCCAAGCUUCCAGAAGACUGCAGCCCCAGCUGACAGCUUGACUGCAACCUCAUGAAUGUUUCUGAGCUAGGACCACCCAGUUGCUUCUGAAUUCCUCACCCUCAGAAACUAUGAUACAAUAAAUGCUGAUUAUUUUAAAUUGCUAAGUUUUAGAGUAAUUUGUUAUACAGCAAUAGACAUGUAUCGGUUCACAUAAAACAGGAGAAUCUCACAAACAAAAUAGUUCCAUUUACCCUGUCCUUUUUGCGAUGGCUGUCACAUAUAUUACACCUAAUACAUUAUAAACCUCACAAGUCAAUAUUGUAAUUUUUGCUUUGAGAAGCUACGUAUAGUUUUUAAAAACUGGGUUGAGGAAGACAGUCCUUUGUAUUUACCCACAUAAUUACCAUUUCUGCUGCUCUUCACUACUUGAGUAUUUACAUUUCUAUCUGAUACCAUUCCCCUCAGCCUGAGGAAUUUCCUUCAGCAUUUCUCUAAUGCCAAUUUUCUGGUGAAGAAUUCUUUUAGCUCUCAUUUAUCUGAAAAUGUCUUAAUUUCAUCUUCAUUUUAUGGAUAUUUUUCACUGGGUAUAAAAUUAUACGUUGACAGGUUCCUCCCCCCACCACUUUGAAGCUGUUCCACCAUCUCUGGCGCCCACAGUUUUUAAUGGAAAUUCAGCAAUAAUGUAUAUCCUUGUUCUCCUAUGUGUAAUGUGUACUUUAUCUUUGGAUGAUUUCAAAAUUUCCUCUUUCUCUCUGGUGUUCUGCAGUUUGACUAUAAUGUGCCUAUGUGUGAUUUUGUUUGUAUUUAAACUGUUGGGGUUUGCUGACAUUUCUGAAUCUUGGGAAAUCUUUAGUCAUCAUUUCUUCAAGUUUUUCUGUUCCCUUCUUUCUCCUCUGGUACUGGCAUUCCAAUUGCGCAUACAUGAGACCUUUGUACAUAAUUCCGCAGGCCACUGAGAUACUGCUUACUUUUAUCCAAUCUUUUUUUUCAAAUUGGAUAAUUUCUAUUGAUCUUCAAGUUAACCGACAGGCUCUUCUGUCAGCAACAAUCUGGUAUUAAGCUCAUCCAGUGACUUUACAUUUUCAGAUAUUGUAUUUUUCCAUUCCAGAAUUUGUGUGUAUAGUUUCUAUUUCUCUGCUGAGAUUUCUUAUCUUUUCAUUAAUUACAAACAUAUUUUGCUCUCUGCCCUUGAGGAUAAAAAUAAUAGCUGCUUUAAAGUCCCUGUCUGCUAAUUCCAACAUCUGAGUUAUCUUGGGGUUGGUAUCCAUUGAUUGCCUUUUCUUUUGAGUUAUGAGUCACAUUUUCCUGUUUGUUUUUUUUCAUGUCUAAUAGCUUAGGAUUGAAUUCUAAACGUGACAAAUGAUAUAUUGUAGAGAUUCCGAAUUCUGUUUCAUUCCUCUAAAGAGUACUGAUUUUUCAUUUUAGCAGGCAAUUAACUCGUCUAAAACCAAAAUACCAAAUUCUAUCUCCCUUGCAUUGGGCAACAGCUGAAUUCUCCAUUCAGUUAUUUUAGCCUUAGUUGAGGUGCUUAAGAGUCCAUUCUGUGCAUGCAUAGUCAGCCAGAGAUUUCAGUAGGGUUUAUAUACAGAAUCAGGGCAUCUUCUCUGUGGUUCUCUCUUUUCUGGGAUAACCUCCUUCAUUUUUCAGUUGCUAUUCACCCUGAUCUCAGUUCUCUCAUUCCUCAAACAGUAAGACUGCAAGUUCCUAUCCAAGUUACAUGCAGUUACAUCAUAGUAACUGCAGUCUGCCCACAGGUGAAAAGCUAAUCCUUUCAAAUUACCACUCUUCUCUUUUUGGUGCUAUAGUAGAAACAGAACUGAACCUGGGAAUUUGAAGGUCUGAUUUUAAAUCCUAGCCAGGCCACUUUAAGUCAGCUCCCAGUGACUACUUCCUCAUUUUAUUUAUUUAUUUGAGACAGGGUCUCACUCUGUCACCCAGGCUGGAGUGCAGUGGCGUGAUCUUGGCUCACUACAACUUCUGCCUCCCAGGCUCACAUGAUCCUACCACCUCAGCCUCCCGAGAAGAUGGGACUACAGGUGCAUACCACUACGCUCGGCUGGUUUUUGUAUUUUUGGUAGCGACGGGGUUUCGCCAUAUUGCUCAGGCUGGUCUCGAAUUCCUGAGCUCAAGCAAUCCGCCUGCCUCGGCCUCCCAAAGUGCUGGGACUACAGGUGUGAGCCACUGUGCCUAGCGCAUCUUAUUUAUUUUUAUUUUUUUUCUUUUUGUUUUCACCUAUUUGUCCCAGAGCACUUUCUCAUCUUGAAAUGAGAAUAAGAAUGUCUGCUUCAUGAAGUUGUUAAGAGGAUCAAAUGAAGCUGAGCGCGGUGGCUGAUGCCUGUAAUCCCAAUGCUUUGGGAGGCUGAGGCAGAAGGAUUGCUUGAGCCCAGGAGUUUGAGACCAGCUUGGAAAACACAGUGAGACCCUGUCUCUAUUUUUCCUUUUUGAAAAGGAUCAAAUGGGAUAAUAUAUGAGAUAAGGAAACUGAAGCUCAGAGGGACUAAGAUAUUCCAUCUAUUAAGUGAUAGGAGGGCCAGGCGCGGUGGUUCACGCCUGUAAUCCCAGCACUUUGGGAGGCCGAGGUGGGCCGAUCACCUGAGGUCAGGAGUUCGAGACCAGCCUGGCC
rnacentral:lncRNA from 10 species